UUACCCACAAAUCACAAUUUUCAAUUUCAGCGUAACCCUACAAACCCCCCCACCGCUACUCCACCGCACCACCACCACCGAUGGCGGAAAUCGAUUCAGCUCAGUCCCAAGAGACCGUCACUCAGGAGACUCAGAACAAACCAAUGACCACUUCCUUCAGCAUUUGGCCACCAACUCAGCGCACUCGUGACGCGGUCAUCAACCGCCUCAUCGAGUCUCUGUCAACACCUUCCAUUCUCUCAAAACGUUAUGGAACUCUCCCGCAAGACGAGGCAUCUGAAACUGCAAGGUUGAUUGAGGAGGAGGCAUUUGCUGCUGCUGGAUCCACUGCUAGCGAUGCCGAUGACGGCAUUGAGAUACUUCAGGUUUACUCAAAGGAGAUUAGCAAGCGCAUGAUUGACACUGUUAAGUCCAGAUCUGCUCCUGCUGCUGCUUCGGAGGGUGAAAGUAAGCCGUCAGAGUUACCGGCUGAUGCUUCGGAGCCUUCCUCUGCUUCUGGUCUCACUGGAGAGGUCUCAUCCGUUGAAACCGAGCCUUGAAGAGUCUCUGCUGCUUCAGGAAAUUCCAACCUCAUCAUCAGAUCUUCUGGCUUUCGAGUUUGGCUUUCAGGAUGCAAUGUGGGUGUAGCUUCUAAUAGUCAAUGUAUCUUUUUAUUGACUCUUGGAGGAACGGAAUUAACUCUUUUUAAGAGGUUUAUGAAUAUGGAGUAGUUUUCAAACAUAUAAACCUGUCCAGGAUUGGGGAAAAAAAAAACACCGACUUUAUGUAUGGCGUAUUAGGAGUACAAAUAAUUUCUCUAUGCGGAAUGUUGAAAAGUUCAAUUAAAAAAAAAAA
rnacentral:misc_RNA from 1 species